rnacentral:rRNA from 1 species
UGCCCAAGAGAUCGGGAUAACACCUGGAAACAGAUGCUAAUACCGGAUAACAACAGAUGAUGCCUAUCAACUGUUUAAAAGAUGGUUCUGCUAUCACUCUUGGAUGGACCUGCGGUGCAUUAGCUAGUUGUAGGGUAACGGCCUGCCAAGGCGAUGAUGCAUAGCCGAGUUGAGAGACUGAUCGGCCACAUUGGGACUGAGACACGGCCCAAACUCCUACGGGAGGCAGCAGAC